GAUGAACGCUCGCUACAGGCUUAACACAUGCAAGUCGAGGGGAAACGCUGAGAGAGCUUGCUCUCUUAGGCGUCGACCGGCGCACGGGUGAGUAACGCGUAUCCAACCUACCCAUUACAGGGGGAUAACCUUGCGAAAGUAAGACUAAUACCCCAUGGCAUUUUAUGGUGGCAUCAUUAUAGGAUUAAAGAUUUAUUGGUAAUGGAUGGGGAUGCGUCUGAUUAGCUUGUUGGCGGGGUAACGGCCCACCAAGGCAACGAUCAGUAGGGGUUCUGAGAGGAAGGUCCCCCACAUUGGAACUGAGACACGGUCCAAACUCCUACGGGAGGCAGCAGUGAGGAAUAUUGGUCAAUGGGCGAGAGCUUGAACCAGCCAAGUAGCGUGCAGGAGGACGGCCCUAUGGGUGGUAAACUGCUUUUAUAGGGGAAUAAAGUGAGCUACGUGUAGUUUAUUGCAUGUACCCUAUGAAUAAGGACCGGCUAAUUCCGUG
rnacentral:rRNA from 1 species